rnacentral:rRNA from 1 species
AACGAACGCUGGCGGCAUGCCUAACACAUGCCAGUCGAACGAGACCUUCGGGUCUAGUGGCGCACGGGUGCGUAACGCGUGGGAACCUGCCCUUAGGUUCGGAAUAACUCCCCGAAAGGGGUGCUAAUACCGGAUAAUGUCUUCGGACCAAAGAUUUAUCGCCUUUGGGUGGGCCUGCGUUGGAUUGGCUGGUUGGUAGGGUAAAAGCCUACCAAGGCGAGGAUCCAUAGCUGGUCUGAGAGGAUGACCAGCCACACUGGGCCUGAGACACGGCCCAGACUCCUACGGGAGGCAGCAGUGGGGAAUAUUGGACAAUGGGCGAAAGCCUGAUCCAGCAAUGCCGCGUGAGUGAUGAAGGCCUUAGGGUUGUAAAGCUCUUUUACCCGGGAUGAUAAUGACAGUACCGGGAGAAUAAGCUCCGGCUAACUCCGUG